rnacentral:rRNA from 1 species
UACAUAGGUCUCAAGCGUUGUUCGGAUUCAUUGGGCGUAAAGGGUGCGUAGGCGGCGCAGUAAGUCGGGGGUGAAAUCUCGGAGCUUAACUCCGAAACUGCAUUCGAUACUGCCGUGCUUGAGGACUGGAGAGGAGACUGGAAUUUACGGUGUAGCGGUGAAAUGCGUAGAUAUCGUAAGGAAGACCAGUGGCGAAGGCGGGUCUCUGGACAGUUCCUGACGCUGAGGCACGAAGGUCAGGGGAGCAAACGGG